UGAAUUCGCAAAGUUUUGGCUGAC
rnacentral:siRNA from 1 species